AUUGAACGCUGGCGGCAGACCUAACACAUUCAAGUCGAACGAGUGGCGGACGGGUGAGUAAUGUCUGGGAAACUGCCCGAUGGAGGGGGAUAACUACUGGAAACGGUAGCUAAUACCGCAUACCAUCGGAUGUGCCCAGAUGGGAUUAGCUAGUAGGUGGGGUAACGGCUCACCUAGGCGACGAUCCCUAGCUGGUCUGAGAGGAUGACCAGCCACACUGGAACUGAGACACGGGCCAGACCCUUACUGGAGGCAGCAGUUGGGAAUAUUGCACAAUUGGCGCAAGCCGGAUGCAGCCAUGCCGCGUGUAUGAAGAAGGCCUUCGGGUUGUAAAGUACUUUCAGCGAGGAGGCGUUACUCGCAGAAGAAGCAUCGGCUAACUCCGUGCCAGCAGCCGCGGUAAUUC
rnacentral:rRNA from 1 species